AGGAAUUAAUGCAGGGGAUCUAUGUAAAAUAGACAAUGACUGUUCUUGUCAUGUAGGACUUUUUCCAUUAUGUUGUUAUUGUAGAAAAGGUCGUUGUAUUUGUGAUAAGGGUGGUAAGGAAAUCGUGUGAAACUAUUAUUCGUGAUUUUAUGCUAUGUACUAAAAUGUUAUAGCUACCAUGAUAAUGAAAAUAAAUUAAUAUAUUAUCAAUCUAUCAAUACC
rnacentral:lncRNA from 1 species